rnacentral:lncRNA from 1 species
AGAGAGGAGGGUAAUAAUUUCAUUUAGCUAGCAAAUAAUUUUUCAUUUGAAAAAAUGAAAGGUUCUAGUUUUUCCAAGAUAAACAUGAUAUUUGUAAUAUUAUGCUUCUUCACAAACUUGAGGAUCUGUUUGGGUGAUAUGAAUGGAAUUGGAGAGCAGCCACUUUCAAAGAUUGCCAUUCACAAAACCAUUCUUGCUCUCCACAGUUCUGCCUCCAUUACUGCUUCCCCCUUUUUGCUUGGCAAUAAGGUAUAAACAAAAUUUUAAUAUUUUCUUCCAGUUUGAUUGAUUUAACCUAUUUAUUUGAUUUUCAUUUCUCAACAAAUUUUACUCCAAGAGCGUAUACAUGUUAUACAACCAGAGAAAAAAGAUACUAGUACCGUAAUUCUAGCUAGCAUGAAAAUACAUUUUUUUUUUUUUUAAAAUAAAGCUAGCAUGAAAAUACUUAAAUUCUUUAGGACAAAAUAUUACUGUUUGCAGGUAGUAGGUAAAUCAUGAUAUUAUUGUGUGUGAAAGAGAAAGAGAGACGAGGGAUGACAAUUUCCUGCAGUAAAAAAUACAUGCCGUUACACAUAGUUUUAUAUAUCUUGACCAUUAAUCCGAGAUCAGGCAAAUCAGAUGAUAUAAACAGUGGAUUAAUUAUUAAUGAUCACGACAUUGAUUUUAGAUAUAACUAUAUAGAUUUAUGACGUGUCAUGCAUUUACAACAAAGAAUCCAAAUAUGAGAUAUGGAGCUCAUGAGUGAUGUAACAUGGAGAAUGAUUGAAAGGUAAAGAAAGUACUAAAUUGAUUAAGCUGACAUAUAUGGAAUAAUAUAUUUUCUUCAAUUGGAUAUUUUAAUAUUAUUCCUACUCUUUGCAACACCUUAAACAGGUUUUUUUUUUUAACAAGCUAAAAUGAAAAAUAUUAGAUCACAAAGAGUGAUUCAUCUCACACAAGGUAUACAAAAGAGAACCACCCACCAAAAACAAUGUUAAUAAUCUGGUGCCAUAAAGCAGCACUCCGAAAGAAAGACAAAACAAAACAAAGUUACACUAUAACACCCAUACAAGGUAAAGGGUGUCGCCACCAGUCGUUGUAAUUGAAGGCGAAGGUAGACAAAUUAGCCUUAAGCCAAGAAAAAGACAGAAAUUUAACAGAGUUUACUAAAUGAUCCAAAGUGUCAGUCCUCUGGUUAAAAAUCAUGAGGUUUCUUUCCUUCCAGAUAACCUAGAUAAUAGCCAUCCAAAUUACCUUCAGAAAAGAGUGUGUAGAUUGCGGUAGCCCCGCCAAAUGACCAAACUGAUGAAGAUGCUCGCUAACGGAUGAUGGAGCACUAAAAGAGAUACCUAGCCACUAAUAAAUACGGUGCCAUACUCGACCGAAAUGAUCACAAUGAAAUAGAAGAUGAUAUGCUGUCUCGGAGGAACCGCACCCACCAAUGCAUGAAGUGUCGUCGGGAGGAAUGAUGCGCCUACAAAUAAAGUUGUCUUUAGUUGGGACACGGUUGCGGAGUAGACGCCAAGCAAAAACAUAGACCUUAAGCAGAACUUGCUUCCUCCACAGAUCAUCGAACAUGCCACGCUCCGGAAGGUCAUCUGACGUCGUGAGAUAAGUAUAAGUGCCCUUGACGGAAUAGCCAUGAAUAGGGUCAAGAAUCCACCGCCACCUGUCAAUAAUAUGGUCCUGCAAAACAACAUUAUGCAACAGAGAUGCACACUCAGACACUGUCUCUUCCUCCCAUGCCAAGAGACGCCUCCUCCACGCCCAGGCACCACCACCAUCGGCCCACCCCCUACCCUCCAUCUGCUGCAUCGUCACCCAUUUAUCAACCGCCAAAUCAAAAAGGCGAGGAAAUCGCACCCGUAGAGGCACGCCCCCCACCCAAGUAUCAGACCAAAAAAAUGUGCUACCUCCCCCGCACCUACAACCCGAUUAAAACAAAAAAUAAGAAAAAUGCAAAAUAUUGGAGGGGCAUAUACCUAUAUUUGAAAAUUGAUUCCUUUAAUAUAUUAUUUGGAAAUCCAAAAAUAAAAGUAAUUUAAUUAGGUAAUAUUUUUUUAUUAAUUUUAUCAAUAUACAAAAAGAAAUUUAUUUGAAUUUAGAGAAAAUUGAAUUGAAUUUAUUUUUAAUUAUUAGUAUUUGUAUUUUUGCUUUAAAUAGUUUAAUUAAUUAGCAUAUUUUUAUUUUUAGGUAGUGAUAAUAAAGUAUGUUAGUAAAAUAAACUAAAUUUAGUUUUUGUCCAAAAAUAAUAAUUUAGUUAAUGUAUUACCAAUAUAGAAUUUAAUCUAUAAAUAAACAAAUUAAGUAUUUCUUGAUUUUACUCAUUCAUAGAGACAUGUUCCUCUUUGUUCCAAAAGUGCAGACAAAGUUUGGUGAAAUGUCAAUUUCUGACACAUACAAUAUAUUGUACUCGUGAAUCACUUUAAUUGGUUUGUUGCUAAUCCACAAUUAGACAACCACGUGUUAAUUAUGAUGUACUAUAUUGUUGCAGGGUGAGGAUACAGAAUUGGUGACUGUAGAAGUGGAGUCCCCAGAACCAACUAAUGAAGAUUGGGUUGGAGUUUUUUCUCCUGCAAACUUGAAGUAACAUACAACAACUCUCUGUCUCACUGUUAAUAUUGAUUUUCCUAAUUAGUAUAUACUAAUUAUAUUUUAUAUAUUCCUUAAAAAAAAUACUAUUAUGUAUAAAAGGUUCUAACAACAUGUUCUUUUAUUGUCAAAAAAAAAAAAAGUUCUUUUAACACAUUUUUCCAUAAAAUCAUGCAUAUCAUGACGAUAAAUAAUAUUUUGACAACUAUUUUGGGAUAAUCUAAUAAAAAACCGCAUAUGGAAUAUUAUUUUAGUUUUUUUAAUAUUUUUUAGUUGCAUUGGUUUCCAUAUCAUCUUUUCCUAUUUAAAUCUAAUUGCAGUACGUACGCAGUUAAACAAUUUUGAUAGAAAUGUUAAUGCUGUGUGCAUUUGCUAACAUAAUGUAAUAUUAUUUCAUCUACAAUACAUAUGUGACACACCAGAUUAAUCACGUUCAAAAAUGUAGUUAAUUCAUAUAAGCAUGUUGUUUUUUUUGGGUCAAGCAUAUGAGUAUGUUGUUAAUUCAGUUUAUACUCAAAAUUGUGGCUAAUUCAACUAUAUGAUUAAAAAAAAAAAGUUAACUGAUUUUUAGUUAAACAAUGACACUAAGAGUAAUAAAAUAUAUUUUUCACAAACACAGUUCAUCAAUAUGUACACCUGACCCCGGUGGCAUUGGAUGGGUGGAGACACCAUAUACAUGCUCAGCCCCAAUAAAGGUAAAUGCAACUCCAUCUCAAAUAAAUUGAAAAUGAAUAUGAAAUGGAUGAACAUAUAUCAUGUUUGUUAAUUAUAAUAAUUUGAAUUUUUGUAACAGUAUAAGUAUGCCAACCACUCCAAUCCUAACUAUAAAAAGACUGGGAAAAAUACUUUGAAGUUCCAAUUGAUCAAUCAACGUGCAGAUUUCUCUUUUGCAUUAUUUUCAGGUGGAUUAUCCAAUGUAAGUCAUAUCUUCUGAUCUUGUUAUUUGGUAUCUUCAAUUUUUUUCUUGCUAAAUUUGCAAUGCCAACAGUGUUUUAUUUCUUCUUUGCUUUAGACUUGGCUUUAAUAUUUAAUUUUAUGCUAAUAAGCAUUCAUAUGAUUGAGUAUUGCAGCCUAGACUUGUGUCAAUUUCGAACUUCAUCGCAUUUGCAAAUCCUAAAGCACCUGUGUAUCCGCGUCUUGCGCAUGGAAAAUCUUGGAAUGAAGUAAGUUUAUCUAGUCCAUUUCAUUACACACCACUAGCCUAACAUUUCCUAAUCAUACAUUGGUUCUUAUCAUCUAAAACUUUUCUAAUUGAAAUUGCUGCAUGAAUUGUCUAACUUAUACAUUUAAAAUAAUGUUAAGAAAUUUGUUCAUCAACGACAGAUGACAGUUACCUGGACAAGUGGAUAUGACAUAAGUGAAGCUGUACCGUUUGUGGAAUGGGGUCCAAAGGGAGGAAAGCAGAUACAAUCUGCUGCCGGAACAUUGACAUUUAAUCGUAACAGCAUGUGUGGUAAGGAUUAUUACAUGGUCAAGUUUAUACAAUAAACUUUAAAAUUUAAUCGAACAAUGCUUCAUUAGGUAGCAUAGCAUAGUAACUCUUUCUUUUUCUAAAAAUUAAUAUCAUCAAAUAAUAAGGACAUUUUGUUGAUUUGUAGGUGAACCUGCGCGAACCGUUGGCUGGCGUGAUCCUGGUUUUAUACACACAAGUUUCCUUAAAGAACUUUGGCCAAAUAUGAAGUACGCAUUUAGUCAUUUUCAUGACACAAGUUUUUCCUCUUAACUUUCAAGUUCGACAAAAGUUCUCAAAGCUUAACAGCUUUCCUUGUUCUUUCCCCAGGUACACAUACAGGUUAGGGCAUUUCUUAUCUGAUGGCUCUUAUGUAUGGAGUAAGAGGUAUUCAUUCAAGGCAUCUCCGUAUCCUGGACAGAACUCAUUGCAACGUGUUAUCAUAUUUGGUGACAUGGGAAAGGUAGUACUGAUUAGACGUGUCUAACUUUUGAAUUAGAAACUCUAAUUUUAAGCAUGAGUAGUACGAUGUGAAGAAGGCUUACUUUGCUUCGCGUGUUCUUUAGGCUGAGCGUGAUGGUUCAAAUGAAUAUGCCGAUUACCAACCUGGUUCACUUAACACGACUGACCAGCUCAUCAAUGAUCUAGACAACUUUGACAUUGUUUUCCACAUAGGAGAUAUGCCUUAUGCAAAUGGAUACAUCUCACAGUGGGACCAAUUCACAGCUCAAGUGCAACAAAUUUCAUCAAAAGUUCCAUAUAUGAUAGCAAGGUUCAGUUUGCUUGACAUCAUUUUAAUCCAUAGACAUUUGAAUUGAGUUUUACAUAUUGUUUUAGACUGAAAGGAUGCUACAUUUUUUCAUACUGCAGUGGAAAUCACGAACGUGAUUGGCCAAACUCAGGAUCCUUCUAUGACACUCCAGAUUCAGGUGGAGAAUGUGGAGUUCCUGCAGAAACCAUGUACUAUUACCCUGCUGAGAACAAAGCCAAAUUCUGGUAAGUUAUAUUAAUCUAAAUACAAACCAUGAACCACCAACAUAUGGUUAGCCGAGUGCUAAGGUACUCAAAUUCCUUAAUCAAGUGACCACUGGUUCAAUUCCUAGAUCUUUUAUAUUUAGAAAAUCUAGUUGUGAGGGGAGGACUCAUAUUGUGCGCGAAACAAAUUUUAGGACGGAGACAAGCAUUCUUAAACAAUGGUGGAUACUCCGUACCUAUAACAUGGUUAUAAACAAAAAUACAUACUAUAACAUGUUUAGCUUUAGUCUUUAGUAUAUAAGAUUUUCAUCUCUCAAUUGAAUUUAUUAUCACUUGGUCCAAAUGAAUGAUGAAAAUUGGAAAUAUGCAGGUAUGCAACAGAUUAUGGCAUGUUUCGUUUCUGUAUAGCUGACAGUGAGCAUGAUUGGAGAGAAGGAUCGGAACAAUACAAAUUCAUCGAGCAUUGCCUUGCAACAGUAGAUAGAAAACAACAACCAUGGUUAAUCUUUGCAGCACAUCGUCCACUCGGUUACUCCUCUAAUGAUUGGUAUGCCAAGGAGGGUUCAUUUCAAGAACCCAUGGGAAGGGAGAGUUUGCAGGGACUUUGGCAGAAGUAUAAAGUAGACAUUGGAUUUUAUGGUCAUGUCCAUAACUAUGAAAGAGUCUGCCCCAUUUAUCAGGUAUGAAUACUAUUGCCACUAUAAUAGUUUUUUCCUUCAUUUUAAAUGCACCAGCAUUGCAUUUCUAAUAAUCCAAAUGUGUAUAAUGCAGAACCAAUGUGUGAACAAUGAAAAAACUCAUUACUCUGGCACUGUGAAUGGAACAAUUCAUGUUGUUGUCGGCGGAGGGGGAAGUCACUUGUCGGACUUCACAACAGCACCUCCUAUUUGGAGUAUUUUCAGGGACAGAGACUACGGUUUCGUCAAACUGACAGCAUUCAAUCACUCAUAUCUCUUGUUUGAGUACAAGAAAAGUAGUGAUGGAAAGGUUUAUGACUCUUUUACAAUUUCCAGGGACUAUAGAGAUGUCUUGGCCUGUGUGCACGAUGGUUGUGAGAAAACCACCUUGGCAACAUGAGUUAUGUCUCUGCAUUAGUUCACUGAUGUAGUCUUGAAAUGGAAAGUAUUUCGAAAUAAAUUAAUAAAUAAAUGAAGGCUAUUAUGUUCAAUCUCCAAUUCUCAUGAUCAUUUAGAUAUUUAUACAUAUAAAUCACCAUCAUAACAAAGAAAGCAAUCAAAUCUGUUUCGAACUUUGAUAAUGUACAAGGAAAUUAGGGUAGCAAGAAUUAUAUGUGACCCAGUCAAAUGUAUUCUAACUAGCAAGGCAAGAAUUCUAAGGAAAGUGGGGGUAUAUCAACACACUCUCUAUUUUCAUUAUGAUAAAAAGAUAUAUCAAUUUUAACAUAUACUAUGAUAAAAUACUUUUGGUAAAUAAGAUUAAUAUAAACUCUUUUUAUAAUGUCUAAUAUUCUUCAUAUCGUAGUGGGAUGCUCGUAUUUUAAACCAUUUUAAAUAAAAUAGUUUAACUAAAGGUAAAAUAUGUAAGAAAAAAAUCAGCUCAAACUCACAUACUCCCUCCAUGAUGAAAUAGAAACAAAAAAGGUAGGUGGGAAGUUGAUUUUUGAAUAAGCUAAAUUAGCCCACCUAAAUUGAUAUUGGGGAGAAUCGAACAUUAGACCUCGAGGAGGAGCACACUCCCAUAAGUGAGAAGUUGAUGUAUGUAGACUAAAUUUUUAUACGUUGAUUUUUCAACUAUCCGUUUUGUUGAUAUUUCAUUAUGGAUGAAGUAUUUUAUAUAUAGUAUAAAAGAUAAAUAAUGAGUUGUUUAUGUCAAAAAAAAAUAAUGAUUUGUUCUUUUGUUUGAUCGAGGGACAAUUUUGUCGUGGCAGAUCUUGACCAAAAUUUUAGAGGGUGACAUAUCUUUUUUUUUUUUUUAAAAGACAGCAAGCACAAGGUGUGCCACCCUCUAAACAAACGGUCCAAUUGUGAUGGUGAUGGAGGAGAGUUGUUGGUUGUGGUUGGAGGAGCAAGAAUUGUUGGGGAAGAUAAUGUUAAAAAAUUAAGUGUAGAGAGAACAUGAUAAGAGUGUGUUCUUUAUUUAAUCAAAGGGCUAAGAUCAACUUUUCCAUCAUAGGAAACUACUUCCCUUUUCCAUACUAAACUCCACCAGCUAAGAGGACCGAAAGUUUGUGGGAAAACGUGCUUCCAUCGUUUGGUAUGCAUGUUAUAGAGGAUGGAAAGCCUCAAAUUGAUGGGUCCCGCACCUACAAUCUUUCGGGUUCCACUUGUGUAGCAUUGGCCAUUUUUAUGUUAUAUAACACUGCCCAUUCAGGGUGUGCCACAUGGCACACCCUUUUUUUUUAAAAAAAAUCGAGAAUUAGAAAACAGGUGAGAGUAGAAACCAAUGAAAACUCAAAAAUUUCCUCUUCUCUUCUCCCCUACGACAUCAGAACCCACCACCUACCAUCAACUUUUCUCCGCCGCCGUCCUCCUCUCCGCAUAGCAUUGAAAAGGUCUACUAUAGUAACUUCUUGUUUUCAUUUCAUGUAUUCCAGGUUCAUUUGAAACUAAGAAUCGUCUUUAACUUAAUGUCUUCCCACAUAUCUUGUGUGUUCUCCAAAUUUAGUCAUGAGAGUUCAAGACAAGCUUCAUCAUUUAGAAGACAUUGAUGAAAACUGUAUUCAAAAGGAAUUGGAAACUGAUUGUACCGAGUUUCCUUACCCGGAUUUACUAAUCCAGACAAGUGGAGAACUUAGAGUUGGUAAUUUCUUGUUAUGGAAAUUUGCAUAUUCAGUACUUUUCUUCAACAAAAAACUUUGGCCAAAUUUUGGGAAGGCAUGUUUCAAAAUAGACAGAGAUGCUAUGGUGCUAAUUAAAGAGAAGAGGAACAGUGGUCGAUGACAGAGAGGAGGACGGCGGUGGAGGGAGGUGUCGGCGGUGGCGGAGAAAAGUUGAUGGUAGGUUGUGGGUUCUGAUUGGGCAAUGUUAUAUAAUAUAAAAUGGUCAAUGUUACAUAAGUGGAAUCCCAAUCUUUCCUCCCAUGUUUGCAGAAAACACGAUCUCACCCUCCAAUAUGACAAAUUGACCAAAACACCCUCACUUGUGGAGCAAUUUUUUUUCGCCGUGCAUGUUCUCUUUCUUUUUUUCAAUUAACAUGUUUUUCACUUCAAGGCUUUUAGACAUGUUUUUUUUGUCUUUAUAACUUUUUUCAAAAAAAAUGACGGUCAUUUCUUAAGUAUAUAUAACAUCAAGUGUUAUAACAAAAUACAAAGGCUACCCUAAAAAAAAAACUAAAAACAAAGGUUAUUUAUGUCAUUUCAUAAAUGUAUAUCUUUAUUUCCUUUCACUUUCUUUUCACUUUCAUUCAUAUCAAACAACUAAACAAUCAUCUCACUUUCUAUCCUUAAACAAUAUUUCCUUUCACUUUCUUCCCUGGUUCAAACAAUGCCUUGAAGCUCAUACACACGUCUGAACUAUAAUGCAUACUAGUAUGUAAGAAAAUCACGAAAAAAUUGUGGCCUUGACAUCUCUAUUUGUUUACUCUAUUCCCAACUUCUCUCAACACAAGCAUAGCUUAUAAGAACCAAUAUUGCAAAUAGAAAGAAAAUACUUCUACUUUUUUUUCUUCUUCCAAUUUUAAGGCCACAUGUUUGUGGAAACUGUCCACAAUCUGUACGUAAUAAAGAAUGCUGCACGAGCAACGCGAGUUUUUUUUUUUUUUUUAUGACAAAUAUUUUCUUUUUUUAUUAGCUAGUGAAAACUGAUCCGUAAAACAAAAAAAAAAUUCAAAGCUUUUUCUCUUAAACUUUCUUAUUAGAGAUUUAUCUAAUAUGUCCUACACGUAAUGUGAAUACUUCUCAAAACAUAUAAAAUUCACUAACAUCAAGACAAACAUAUCCUUGUCAAAUGUUACAUUUUUCACUUAUUCAUCUUAAUGCUAAAAUUUCUAACCAAUAAGUUAUUUUAUAAAAAAUAAUAAGAUAAACUAUGGUGUCUAUAUUAUCCAAGAGAUAAAUAAAGACUUUCCAUUUUUCUUUUUUAGUUACUAAUUUUUUUUUCCCAAUGCUAUUUAUCUUGCCCUGGCAAACAAUUACUUUCCCACCCAACCAUGUCUCAUGCUUCACACAUUAUAGUUAUAUAUAAAUUGGUUUAUGGGUGUAAUAAAACAAUUGUUUAAUUUUUUUUGAACAAGCCAACAAUUGUUUAAUUAUAACUUAACAUUGUGUGUAUCGUUAACAAAUAUCUUCGAAACACCUUUUAAACAUUAAAAUUAAGACGACCAAAAUUUCAUGAUGAUUCAAAAUGAAAGCUCAAACAACUAAAGUUUAAAAAUGAAUGGAUUGUUUAAUAUAUGAAUCAUAUAUUAGAAUAUUAUAAAAACUUCUUUUAUAUAAUAUUUGAAUUUUUGAACAUGUAAUGAAUUUUUUAAACAUAAAAAAUUCUAGAUAAAAGUAAUAAAAUUUGAACCAACAAAUCAAAAUUUGAACUCAUACUCUGUGAAAUAACUUUUUAUAAUGUUCAAAAUAUGCAAACAAAAAAUCAUUAAAAAAUAUGUUAUAUAUAUGUUGACUUAACAAUAAGGAUUUAAGCUGAUUGCGGAUAAUUUGUAGGACUAACAAUUGUAGUUUUUUUUGUAUGAUAUAUGAUCAUGUAAGUUUUCUCCCUUAAAAAAGUUCUGUCAUAUUUUUAUUUUAUUUUGAAAACUCGAUAUCCACCCCCAAUGUCCAAUACGUAAAUAUCUUAUAUAUUGUAAAGUUUAUAGAUUUAUAAAGUUUAUCUUUUGGAAAACAUAGAGUAGUUUACUGCCUCAUUUUAAUUAUUCAUUUUUCUCUUGUAUAUUCCAUCUAAUAUAAUAUACUUAUAUAGAUUUUCAAAAAUUGUUACUAUCAACUAUAUUCCAAUGGCGGAUUCAGGAAUACUAGUUAGGAAAAACUACACAUGGGUAAUUUAAUUUAAAGUUUUAAACAUUUCCUUAUAUUUUUCGUUUCAUAUUAAUCAAUCUUUUAUGUUACGAAAUAUUUACAUUGUUGAACCAACACUCAUUCUUUUUUUGAGAGGUAAUUUUUUUUUUUUUUUUAGGAAUUGAGAGGAACAUUAAUUCUUAAUUCGCUUAUGUUUUAUUUUUUUGACAAAUCUUAAUUCACUUAUGUUAGAAUUUAUGCACAUGAUUAUUAUACGAAAAAUGCUAAAUAUCCCGAAUAUUAUCAUCCCGAAAGCAUCGCGAACUAUGUCUUGACCGUACAAUUUCCAAUGCAAAAGUUGCUACUUUUAUAUGCUUAAACGAUGUAUUUAGGGCACUCGUUAACAUUUUCCUUUUCUAUAUAUACAAUUCCCUCCUGUAGUUAUGAAAAUCAAGAACCUCUCAGAGAGGAGGGUAAUAAUUUCAUCUAGCUAGCAAAUAAUUUUUCAUUUGAAAAAAUGAAAGGUUCUAGUUUUUCCAAGAUAAACAUGAUAUUUGUAAUAUUAUGCUUCUUCACAAACUUGAGGAUCUGUUUGGGUGAUAUGAAUGGAAUUGGAGAGCAGCCACUUUCAAAGAUUGCCAUUCACAAAACCAUUCUUGCUCUCCACAGUUCUGCCUCCAUUACUGCUUCCCCCUUUUUGCUUGGCAAUAAGGUAUAAACAAAAUUUUAAUAUUUUCUUCCAGUUUGAUUGAUUUAACCUAUUUAUUUGAUUUUCAUUUCUCA